GACGAACGCUGGCGGCGUGCUUAACACAUGCAAGUCGAACGGAAAGGCCCUGCUUUUGUGGGGUGCUCGAGUGGCGAACGGGUGAGUAACACGUGAGUAACCUGCCCUUGACUUUGGGAUAACUUCAGGAAACUGGGGCUAAUACCGGAUAGGAGCUCCUGCUGCAUGGUGGGGGUUGGAAAGUUUCGGCGGUUGGGGAUUGACUCGCGGCUUAUCAGCUUGUUGGUGGGGUAGUGGCUUACCAAGGCUUUGACGGGUAGCCGGCCUGAGAGGGUGACCGGCCACAUUGGGACUGAGAUACGGCCCAGACUCCUACGGGAGGCAGCAGUGGGGAAUAGUGCACAAUGGGCGGAAGCCUGAUGCAGCAACGCCGCGUGCGGGAUGACGGCCUUCGGGUUGUAAACCGCUUUCGCCUGUGACGAAGCGUGAGUGACGGUAAUGGGUAAAGAAGCACCGGCUAACUACGUG
rnacentral:rRNA from 1 species